GAUGAACGCUGGCGGCGUGCCUAAUACAUGCAAGUCGAGCGAACGGACGAGAAGUUUGUUGCUCUGAUGUUAGAGGCGGACGGGUGAGUAACACGUGGAAAACCUACCUAUAAGACUGGGAUAACUUCGGGAAACGGGAGCUAAUACCGGAUGAUAUUUUGAACCGCAUGGUUCAAAAGUGAAAGACGGUCUUGCUGUCACUUAUAGAGGGAUCCGGGCUGCAUUAUCUAGUUGGUAAGGUAACGGUUUACUAAGGCAACGAUGCAUAGCCGACCUCAGAGGGUGAUCGGCCACACUGGAACUGAGACACGGUCCCGACUCCUACGGUAGGCAGCAGUAGGGAAUCGUCCGCAAGGGGCGAAAGCCUGACGGAGCAACGCCGCGUGAGUGAUGAAGGUCUUCGGAUCGUAAAACUCUGUUAUUAGGGAAGAACAUAUGUGUAAGUAACUGUGCACAUCUUGACGGUACCUAAUCAGAAAGCCACGGCUAACUACGUG
rnacentral:rRNA from 1 species